GUGGGGAAUCUUGCGCAAUGGGCGAAAGCCUGACGCAGCCAUGCCGCGUGAAUGAUGAAGGUCUUAGGAUUGUAAAAUUCUUUCACCGGGGACGAUAAUGACGGUACCCGGAGAAGAAGCUCCGGCUAACUUCGUGCCAGCAGCCGCGGUAAUACGAAGAGGGCUAGCGUUGCUCGGAAUUACUGGGCGUAAAGGGCGCGUAGGCGGACAGCUUAGUCAGAGGUGAAAGCCCAGGGCUCAACCUUGGAAUUGCCUUUGAUACUGGCUGUCUUGAGUUUGGGAGAGGUGAGUGGAACUCCGAGUGUAGAGGUGAAAUUCGUAGAUAUUCGGAAGAACACCAGUGGCGAAGGCGACUCACUGGCCCAAUACUGACGCUGAGGCGCGAAAGCGUGGGGAGCAAACAGGAUUAGAAACCCGGGUAGUCC
rnacentral:rRNA from 1 species